GACGAACGCUGGCGGCGUGCUUAACACAUGCAAGUCGAACGGAGUGGCGAACGGGUGAGUGACACGUGGGUGACCUGCCCUGCACUUCGGGAUAAGACUGGGGAAAUGGGUCUAAUACCGGAUAGUGUGGGAUGGGCCCGCGGCCUAUCAGCUUGUUGGUGGGGUAAUGGCCUACCAAGGCGGCGACGGGUAGCCGGCCUGAGAGGGUGGACGGCCACAUGGGGACUGGGGCACGGGCCAGAAUCGUACGGGAGGCAGCGGUGGGGAAUAUUGCACAAUGGGCGGAAGCCUGAUGCAGCGACGCCGCGUGGGGGAUGACGGUCUUCGGGGUGUAAACUCCUUUCACCAUCGACGCGGUAGAUGGAGAAGAAGCACCGGCUAACUACGUGCCAGCAGCCGCGGUAAUAC
rnacentral:rRNA from 1 species